rnacentral:lncRNA from 1 species
CUGCUGUCAAAGAAACUGCUUCUUUGAAUUAGUUACCAUUUACACAUACAUAAUACCAAAACAUAAUCUUUACUAACCAUUUCAAUAGCUAAUCUUAGCCAUAUCAUUUGAACAUGCUCAAGAUGAUUAAGACUCUAUACAUGCCAUAGUUCAAACAUUUUGAAAAGCACAUAAUACCGAGAUGGCUAUGAUAGUGUGAUACGAGCUCUGACGGUCCACUAUUCGAUCAAGUUCAAAUCACUAUAAAACAAAGGAAAGAAAGAGAUGUGUAAGCUAUAAAUAGCUUAGUAAGUUACAUGUAAACAAUAAUUACUCAUUUAAUAAUUAACACUUUUAACAUAUAACUAAUCAAAACAUUUCUUAGCAAUUUCAAUCACUUACACAUGCACAAUCUUACCAAUUCACUUGCAUAUACAUUUUCACACUUAACAUUUCAUAUUCACUUUAAUUCAUUAUUAAUCCCGUUGAACAGUUGGAAUAUACACGGAUACGUAGAGAUUUAGCACAUAAGUGCCACACUGAUAUGUAGCCGAAGCUACCACUGAUAUGUAGCCGAAGCUACCACUGAAAUGUAGCCGAAGCUACCACUGAUCAAUAACACUGGAAAUGUCCACGGGCCUGCUCACACAAGCUGUCAGGUGUCUGCAACACAUGCUAGAUCACCCAACACCCGGGACUCACUGUAACACUGUAACACUGGUCUCUAGUGACAUGUCACUUGUAUCCAAUUCUAUUCCUAAGUUCAACCGGGAAUUUACACUUAACACUUUAUUACUUGAAUAAUUCAUGAACAAUUUUCCUUCCACAUUCAAUAUUAAUUCACAUAUCAAAUAUAAUUCACAAUUUAUAAAAAUAUAACUAUUAUUUACACGUAACUUACCUCGGAUGCAAAACGACUAUUUUUGUAAUUUAGUCGAUAACUUUCUCUUUUCCCCGAUCACUUCCACUAUUUCUUCUUUCUUGAUCUAUAUUAACACAAUUUAAUACAUUUUAUCAACAUUUCAUUCAAAUACAAUUCAUACACAACAUUUUGGCAAAUUUACAUUUUUCCCCAAAACUUUUCAAAAAUUCCACUUUUGUCCCUAAGCUCGUAAAAAUCAAAUUCACUAAAUUUCUUAAAUUUCAAACUUCACUAAAUCAUAUUUCAUGCUCAUAACAGCCCUCAAUUUCACAAAAUCAUAACUUUAUGCACACUUUACCAUCUUUCACAAUUUAGCCCUUUUUCAACAAUUUCAUCAAAAUUCAUCUAGUAAAACUUGUAAUUAACACUUCAAUCAUUCAUUAUCUAACAUCACUAAUCAAUUUACAAUUAUAUCAUGAAUGGGUCAAUUUUCAAACUUUAAUUUCAUUUAAAUUAAAUAGUAGAAACAUGAAAUUCAAGCUUCAAUAAGCAUAAAAAUACGAAAAUAAUCAAAAACGGGGCAAGAAAUCACUUACAAUUGAGCUUAGGAAGUUCAAGAACCCUAGCUAUGGUGACAUGAAUUUUUUUGGCAGCAAACGUCUGAUUUUAAGAAGAUGAACACUUGUUUUCAUCUUUAUUUUGUCUUUUAUUCAAUUUGGACAAAAAUGCCCUUGACCCAUUACUUAGAUAUUUUUCUAGAAAUACCCUUUUGUGUCCAUAACACUAAUUCAUGGUCUAAUUGCCACAUAAACACUUCCAAUUUCAUGCAAUAAUUCAAUUAAGUCAUUUAAUCACUAAUUAGACACACUUUGCAUUUUUCUCGAUUUAGUCCUAAAAAUUCAAUUAGGCACUAAAUCAUUAAAAUUUUCUAUCCAUAUUUUCACACAAUAUUUCAAUCAAUCAAUAAUUAAUAAAAAUUUAUAAAAUUAAACUAUUUCACUUCGGAUUUGUGGUUACGAAACCACUAUUCCGAUUAGGCCCUAUUUCGGGCUAUCACAAUAGCAUCUAAAAUCAAUCCCUAAACAUGUAGUAUAUUGACAUAAAAUCAAUAUGCCCUCAGGCAUCUUAAUUGACCAAACAAUCAUGUUUAACCACAUAUACCAUGUAACCAAGUAAUCAACUAAUUUUUAUGUCUAAUCGCAUUUGUAGAAGCCCAAUUUCACCCGGGCCUAUUACAAACAAAUAAAACACAAAAUAACCCAUUUCCAACAGACCCAAACCCAUUACCAAAAUACCCAAACUAAACCCACCUAAACAGGCCCAAUAGCCUAACCUCGACCCAAACCCAAAAAAUUUUAGGGUUUCAGACCCCUAACUCUCCCUAGCCUAGCGCCGCAACCACCCUUGGUCUUCUGCUCACCUGCUCUGCCAGCAACCAUCGCCAACUGCCACUGUCAUCUCCAUCCACGUGCGCUGAUCCCUGCAAACAAAUCAAGGCAGACAUGACAAGCAUAGGAAAUAGACUAGAAAUCUCAUGUAAAUCGGCUAUAAAGCCAAGAAUAUGUAUUGUAAAAUGGCCCUAUCUCUUUUUCACGAUUUCAAGAAAUAAAAAGUAAAAAAAACAGAUUCAAGGACUCUUUGUUUUCGGUAUAAGAUCUAAUUCCUUUUUUUAUUUUUAUUUUUUUCUUCCUUUUGAAACUGUUUAUAUACAUACAUAUAUUUCUUUAGUUUUCUCUUUUAACUAUUAUACAUAUACAUUGAAAAAGAUUUACAAAAAGAAGAAGAAGAAAAAAGCGCACCUUUUCAACUUCCUGGCUAUUGCGGACGGCGGCGCCGUCGCCGGUGACAGGCGGCCUGCGCAACGGUGGUCGGCCGGAUCUCUGACCGGCAUCUGGAAAGGGGAGAGAGGGCUUGAGAGAAUUUUAGGUUUUUUUUAAAUAAAAGGCAGAAAAUGAAAUUUUUAAGAAAAAUUUGAUUUAUAUAGGCAUUCAAAACGGCACCGUUUUGGGCAUGCCUCUCUGGCACCAAAACGAUGCCGUUUUGCCUUUAAACCCGAUCCAAUCGACCCGACCCACUCCAAGAUCCGCGUGUUUUUUCUGUCAUGGGAUAUUUGCACCUUUGGCCCCUUCGCAUUUUCGAUUCGUUUCGAUUUUGUCCUUUUGGUUAUUUAUCUAUUUUAUAAAUUUGGCCCCGUUGUUUUGUCCGAUUUUUAAUCAGGUCCCUGACCUAUUUUCGCGCAGAAAAACGGACACGUGUCCAGAUUUUUUUUACCCAUUUGGUCCUUAGACUUUUGCGUUGUCCUUGUUUUAACCCUCAUUUAUUUAUUUUGUUGUAAUUUUACUCUUAAACUUCGUUUUAUUGUGAUUCGGUCCUUAAUUUACUAAUUUCUUUUAAUCCUACAUUUUGGUUAUUUAUUUAUUUGUUUUAAGGUUAUAUAUAUUAUUAUUUUAUAUAUUAUUAUCUAUGUUAAAUUGUUUAAUAUUAUUAAUUUCAAAUUGUCUCAUACAUUUUUAUAAUAUGUAUAUACACGUACAUACUUUUUAUUUAUUAAAUAUUUUUUU